rnacentral:rRNA from 1 species
GAUGAACGCUAGCGGCAGGCCUAAUACAUGCAAGUCGAACGGGAUCCAGAUCAAAGCUUGCUUUGGUUUGGUGAGAGUGGCGCACGGGUGCGUAACGCGUGAGCAACCUACCCUUGUCAGGGGGAUAGCCCGGCGAAAGUCGGAUUAAUACCGCAUGACAUCAUUGAGAGGCAUCUUUCGAUGAUCAAAGAUUUAUCGGACAAGGAUGGGCUCGCGUGACAUUAGCUAGUUGGUAAGGUAACGGCUUACCAAGGCUACGAUGUCUAGGGGCUCUGAGAGGAGAAUCCCCCACACUGGUACUGAGACACGGACCAGACUCCUACGGGAGGCAGCAGUAAGGAAUAUUGAUCAAUGGACGGAAGUCUGAACCAGCCAUGCCGCGUGCAGGAAGACGGCCCUAUGGGUUGUAAACUGCUUUUAUACGGGAACAAACGUCGGUACGUGUACCGGUCUGAGUGUACCGUAAGAAUAAGGAUCGGCUAACUCCGUG